rnacentral:rRNA from 1 species
AUACGGAGGGUGCAAGCGUUACUCGGAAUCACUGGGCGUAAAGCGCGCGCAGGCGGCCAUUUAAGUUGGAUGUGAAAGCCUACGGCUCAACCGUAGAACUGCAUCCAAAACUAUUUGGCUAGAGUGUGGGAGAGGAAGAUGGAAUUAGUUGUGUAGGGGUAAAAUCCGUAGAGAUAACUAGGAAUACCAAAAGCGAAGGCAAUCUUCUGGAACACUACUGACGCUGAGGCGCGAAAGCGUGGGGAGCAAACGGGAUUAGAAACCCUGGUAGUCC